UUCAACGGCCGCGGUACCCUAACCGUGCGAAGGUAGCAUAAUCACUUGUUCUUUAAAUGAGGACUCGUAUCAACGGCACUACGAGGGCUAUACUGUCUCCUUUUUCUAAUCAGUGAAACUGAUCUCCCCGUGAAGAAGCGGGGAUCAAAAUAUAAGACGAGAAGACCCCAUGGAGCUUUAAACUCACUAUACACCUCUGUGCCUUUAUGUCACUAGACACAAGAGAUCUGCGUACUAGUUUUAGGUUGGGGGGACCACGGAGUAUAAUUUAACCUCCAUAACAAAUGGGCUAACACCCUUAUCUACGAGACACAACUCUAAGAAUUACUAAACUAAUGCUUAUGACCCGAUAUUCGAUCAAUGAACCAAGUUACCCUGGGGAUAACAGCGCACUCUACUUCAAGAGCCCAUAUCGACAAGUGGGUUUACGACCUCGAUGUUGGAUCAGGGUAUCCCGGUGGUGCAGCCGCUACCGACGGUUCGUUUGUUCAACGAUUAAAACCCU
rnacentral:rRNA from 1 species